rnacentral:rRNA from 1 species
UACAGAGGUCCCAAGCGUUGUUCGGAUUCAUUGGGCGUAAAGGGUGCGUAGGCGGCGCGGUAAGUCGGGUGUGAAAUCUCGGAGCUUAACUCCGAAACUGCAUUCGAUACUGCCGUGCUUGAGGACUGGAGAGGAGACUGGAAUUUACGGUGUAGCGGUGAAAUGCGUAGAUAUCGUAAGGAAGACCAGUGGCGAAGGCGGGUCUCUGGGCCAUAACUGACGCUGAGAAGCGAAAGCAUGGGGAGCGAACAGG